CUCAACACUGAGCUGCUCCAGGAAAGGGCCCAUCGACUUCCCUGGCAAAAAAAUCCCCCAGUCUGUCACCGUGAGUUUCCCCAUUGUAGAGCUAAACUACAAUUGAUGUUCUGUCUCUAUCAAUUUCUCAGGAAUGCUGGGACACAAGCCCAGUAUUAAUGAAGACAGCAGAAAGGCAGGCAUGCGCUUGGCCCCGUUCCAGAGCUGACGGAGAGCGUGGAUCCUGAAUCAUUCCGGGGACCCAGAGAAACCUGAAUGAGGCAAAACAACCAGACUCUGGGGUCACACACAGGCUUGGUGGGGCAGACAGAUGCGAGAAGGCUUACGGGAGAAUUUCUGCUGGGAAGAAAUAGCCUCGAGAUUAUCCUUUUUUAUGAUCAGUUGGUGAACUUGAGGUCAAAAGAAAAAUACUGGCUUGCCCAAAGUUGCACAGAACUAGGAAGAGAAUGCUAUUGUGUGCAUUCCAGGCCCCAGCCCAUCAUAAUUUGGAGGCAUUUUAAACAAAGGCAUGAUUAACAAUAAAGAAGGGGCUGCUCCUAACAGGGGGAGGUACAUGCCUAACUGGGGAAAAAGCCCCCAGCUCCCUACUCCUGCAUGCCCCAAACUCCUGGGUGUUUUCCACGAACAUGAUAAGGAUGCUGCUACUUGCAGGUAAUGAGUAAACAAGUAAACACUCUUAUGUGGUGUCCACAUAUCUGUCAUGUUGAGACCUGGGUUUCAUCAACAUGUCACCCAUUGAAGGCCCGACCUUUGCUUUCUUCACUCUGCACAACCCAAUGCCAAGCACGCAGAGAACACACUGGCCACGGUCAAGAGACGAAAAGAAAACACAGAGAACACACUGGCCACAGUCAAGAAACAAAAGCUAAAGCUGGAAUGUAAAUUAGGAAUUAUAAACAGAAUGUCAGCUUGGAUAAACUCUUUCAACUUACCAGCAGACCUGUCCACAAUGACAAUUAGGAGGAAAAUAAAAGGAAAUUAGGAGAAACAAUGAGAAAAAAGGAACACAGGAGCAGAGAAAGGAAAGACAGUGAAUAAAAAAAGACCUCGGAGGGUGUCACUCAGUGAUAACCUGGUACCCAAAGUCUGGCCAAUGGCUCUUUAUGAUGAAAUCCCAAACAUACCACAUUCCCAGGUGAACCAUUAAACCUGGAGAAAGGGCUUGGUGAGAAGCUGGACCAGCAGCAAUGGUUCAAGGCCAAUGAUGUUAGACCCUCUGAUCCCCCAGUUCUCCAUCCAGCUCCUAUCAGUCUACAGGCACUCAAAGCCCUAAAAACCAUCCAACUUCAGGUUGACAAGCCUAGGCCCUAACCAAUAAGAAGCAGGUUAGGGACGGGUGUGGUGGCUCAUGCCUGUAAUCCCAGCACUUUGGGAGGCUGAGGCGGGCAGAUCAUGAGGUCAGGAGAUCAAGACCUGCCUGGCCAACACGGUGAAACCCCGCCUCUACUAAAAAUACAAAAAUUAGCUGGGUGUGGUGGUGUGUGCCUGUAGUCUCAGCUACUCAGGAGGCUGAGCAGGACAAUCGCUUGAACCUGGGAAGUGGAGGUUGCAGUGAGCCAAGAUGGUGCCAUGGCACUCUAGCCUGGCCACAGAGUAA
rnacentral:lncRNA from 1 species